AAGUCUCUUUAAGGCAGGACUGGGAACUUGGCCUUCUUCCUCCCCCUCCCCACCAAAUGAGCUGUUAGAAUGUGCCCCUCAUCAGCUGGAAUCCAGCAGCACAACCAAGAUCACAAAGACAGACCUGGCACUUGUGAUGGCUUACUGCAUGGCACUGGCUCGCCUCGAGCUCACAGAGCUCUGCCUUCCUGAGAGAGAAAGCUGGGAUGGAAGACUUGUGGCAUCACAUCAGACUCUCUGUAUUUCUGAAUGUUCCCGGACAAAGAAUUCCAACUUGAACUCAUAUUGCAAUGAACCUACUCCUGGAAGUACAGCACUGCUGGAAUCUGGGCUCUGCCCUCUCUGAUAAGGUGAAGGAUGGUUACCAAGACUUAAACCUGAAUCCUCAGGAUGGGGAAACAAAGGAACGACCACAUAAAAGAAGACCCAUGUUUCUCUUUAUGAGUGACAGUAAGACCACAAGG